rnacentral:misc_RNA from 1 species
GUCACAAUAUUAACAGAUUUCUCUGGUGCACUAGUCCCAUUUUCAACUACCUCAGAAACUUUGGUUACUGUUUCUUCUUCACCCAUUCGCAGCCCGAUCCAACGCAGAAUCUACAACAAAAGCAACCUUUUUCCCUCACUUGAAAAUCCACUUGCACUAGGAUAAUAUAAAGCUGUAUUCAAGAGGGGAAAAUCAUCUUCACUUAGAAAGACUUGAAAUUUAAUCCACUAAUCAAUAAAAACCAAAAAGGAGAAGAAAAAUUGAGAUUCACUUAAUGAAUCUCAACAGAUAGAUUAUCAUAUUUUAAGAAGGAAAAAGAAAAUUCAGAACAACUGGCCUGGUUAACUCUUUAACAGAAAACAUUCCUACAAUUUUUUUUACAAUACAAAAUUAUUUCAGUUUUAAGACAUGGUAAUAUUUUCUACAAAUGAACCACGUACUUUGCAGUACAACUUCCAUUGCAACAACUAUAAGGAACACGUUCAUUUCUAAAAGUCUAGUGAAGAGCUUUUGGCCCAUCCCAU